rnacentral:lncRNA from 1 species
UGGUGGAGACCAAGAAAGUGACCAGCUCAGGGGUCCUCCUGCUAGAUAACUACUCCGACCGCAUCCAGUCCUCCGGAACAUGGUGCACUGUGCCGACCUCAGCAACCCCACCAAGCCGCUGGAGCUGUACCGCCAGUGGACAGACCGCAUCAUGGCCGAGUUCUUCCAGCAGGGUGACCGAGAGCGCGAGCGUGGCAUGGAAAUCAGCCCCAUGUGUGACAAGCACACUGCCUCCGUGGAGAAGUCUCAGUGGGUUUUAUUGACUACAUUGUGCACCCAUUGUGGGAGACCUGGGCGGACCU